AAUGAUUUUUUUCUGCCCUUUGCAGCAAUUGCAGUUCCAUAUAAUUCAAAUUGUAAUACAAUAUAAGAAAUGAAAGAAGCAAUAAAUAUACAACUGAAAAUCAAUAUGAAUAUUUAAUAUGAUGGACGUGCCGUCUCCCAUAUUCAGCCACAAACCCACAGACACACCACAGACCACCUGAAUGAGCCUCCUGGACCCCUGGUGGUUCAUGACUACAGUUUGGGAACCACUGCUUUGAAUGUAAAUCUAACACUCAAAAUCAUUACACCUCACAGGUGUAGCAGCUGCGACACACAAUGGUCCCUUCUUACUAGCUGACUCCUUAUGAUCCUUUUUUAACCUUGUAACUCCUCCUGUUUGCUUUAUGGGGAUAGAGGAGGUCUACCAAUUUUGAAAAUUAAAAAGGAAACAAGAAAGCAGCCUUAGUGCAGGGCAUUUUUCUGAGGUCAGAAUCAAUCGUCUGGAGUUGCCACAGAAACCUCAUGCUGAUUUCUUUCCCUCAGUCAGACAUGCUCCAGGCACCCAUCCCCAUUAUGCUGAAGAAGAUAUGAAUGAUCCUGCAGGAUUACAUCUCAAACACAAUGAAGUGAAAUCUCCUACAGGUGAUGGUGAAGGCCAGAGUCAAAAUAAUGUGGAGCAGUUUUUACUGGAGAGAUUUGACUUCUAACUGGAAUUUGAACCUGCUUCGCUUCGACAUUAUUGCUUUGAAGCCCGUUUAUACUUCAGUUUUUCCACUGACUUGAACACAACACAGUACAGCAGACAUGUGGUUCCCAGGCAGUCUCUCAUCCAAGCACAAACUAGACCCAGACCUGCUUAGCUUCAGCAAGGUGACGGCAUCAUGUGCCUCCAGACCAUACCAUUCUGGAAAGACUUUUAUACAUUAACUGUGCAACAAACAAGUGAUAGCUAUGUAUGUGUGAAUUGGUCCUGGAAUGCAGUUUUGAAUAGGCAGCAGUAAAAAUAAGAGCUGGUGUCACCUCUCUCUGCUUGUCAGUAGAUUAGGGUUGAUUCAAAAAUAUGUGCUAUUAUGUCUUUAAGAUUAAUCCUGCCCGUAGCUGUCAACUUUUCCCUUUUUUAAAGGGAAAGUCCCUUAUUCCGAAUAGGAUUCCUCAUGAGAAAAGGGAAAAGUUGACAGCUAUGAUCCUGCCUAUGACAGUAAUGGGUUUUAUUUUAUUCUACGUGUGCUCAGCUCUUUAUUUUUAUUGUGCCAGCCUGAUGUGUAUUUUUGCUGCAGCUGUUAGCCCAAUUAAAAACAAAACAAAAAAACAAAACAAAGAUUCGUGAUGUUGUAGUUAAGAGUGUCAGACUAGAAUGGGGGAAACUGAGGUUCAC